CCUACGGGAGGCAGCAGUGGGGAAUAUUGCACAAUGGGCGCAAGCCUGAUGCAGCGACGCCGCGUGGGGGAUGACGGCCUUCGGGUUGUAAACCUCUUUCAGCUCUGACGAAGCGCAAGUGACGGUAGGAGCAGAAGAAGGACCGGCCAACUACGUGCCAGCAGUCGCGGUAAUACGUAGGGUCCGAGCGUUGUCCGGAAUUACUGGGCGUAAAGAGCUCGUAGGUGGUUUGUCGCGUUGUUCGUGAAAUCUCACAACUCAAUUGUGAGCGUGCGGGCGAUACGGGCAGACUGGAGUACUGCAGGGGAGACUGGAAUUCCUGGUGUAGCGGUGGAAUGCGCAGAUAUCAGGAGGAACACCGGUGGCGAAGGCGGGUCUCUGGGCAGUAACUGACGCUGAGGAGCGAAAGCGUGGGGAGCGAACAGGAUUAGAUACCCUGGUAGUCCACGCCGUAAACGGUGGGUACUAGGUGUGGGUUUCCUUCCUUGGGAUCCGUGCCGUAGCUAACGCAUUAAGUACCCCGCCUGGGGAGUACGGCCGCAAGGCUAAAACNCAAAGGAAUUGACGGCUUGAGAGUUGCGACGCGACGACGAGGGAGGAGG
rnacentral:rRNA from 1 species